GAAGGUAUAGCUUAGUGGUAGAGCAUGUGUUUAGCAUGCUUAGCAUGCACGAGGUCCUGGGUUCAAUCCCCAGUACCUCCA
rnacentral:tRNA from 1 species